GGGCCGAUAAGCUCAGUCGGUUAGAGCGUGGUGCUGAUAAUGCCAAGGUUGCAGGUUCGAUACCCGUUCAGUCCA
rnacentral:tRNA from 1 species